UAUUUUAAUUUAAUUUUACUUUUACAUUUUCAAACCUUCUAAAUACUUAGUUUUUGUAUAAUUCAAUGAUAUUUUCACUACCCUGACACUGUACAGUAUACAAAUUGUAGAUCUAAACAUUCUAAACAGUUGUUCUCCUUAGAUGUGGUUUUCAUCAGUCGUUCAUAGUCAUUGGAUACAACCUGUUUGCGUAUUAUGUAGAUUUUAUUUUAUAUAACAGUGUAAUUAAUUCUAUGUACAAUGUAUCAAAAAAAAAUUCAAACCAUUGCAAAAACUUAGUUAAACUUAUGCUAUCUACAACAUUCACAUUCAAACCUGCAUUACUAAAAUCAUCGAGAUACAGUAACUGAUAUAUGCAUGUAUCCAGGUCAAUUAGGAGAUUAUUGUGUCUGGAAUCUUCUGAAAAAAUUUUUUGCUAACAUUAUUGUUUAUCCAAGGUAAUGUAGAAGUGUCAAAUACAGAGGACAAUAAUGACAAAUCCGGAAUGGAACAUAUUUUAACCAAAACUCCAACAAACGCCGGUAUCAUAAUAAUAUGAAAACCAGAUUACGACAAUGUGGGUGUUCUGUCAACUUAAAUGAUACAGUAAUAUCAAUGCUUUGAACCCUUUUUACCGAUGUGUGUGCAACAAAUUACAAUUUUGAUCGAAAAAAUAACUUGAAAAAUGUUUUUAAACACUUAACUAUUUAUCAUAAUAUGAUUAUUGAUGUUGAUUUGAACUUUCAUUAAGAUGGAGCUGAACAUGAUGUUAAAAGCAGAAUAAGAACCUGGUUAAGAUUGGCAUCCACAAGGAUAAAUAACAGAGAACUUACAAAAAAUAAAAAUGUUAUUUGUAGACAAUUGUUUUAUAUACCUACCUAUAUAAUAUUGUAAUUGUUUGACUAUUAAGAGGACG